AUAGUGUCCCUUUAAGCUAAUGGGUUAUAGUUUGUUAUUAACAAGUAAACCGAUACAUUUAGCCUGCUAAUUUUUGUUAUGUCUUUCUGGAAUACAUUUUGUAUGUGGGGGUAGGGGUGUUGUAAUCCAUGCUAAUGUCCCACAAAGUGCAUGUUUUGCUGUGCUGUUCAGAGUAGACUGGAUAUCUUGAUGAGGAAGCAGUAUUUUUAAUUCAAUUUGUAGAUUACAUAGUGCCCUUUCUCCCACACUUGUCCUCCCUUGAGUUGACUCCACAAACAAACCUUGCAGGGAGAAAAUAU